UUCGAUACAAAGUGCCAUUAAAGGCUUAAUAUGUGUUUAGGAAUACAUAAAAUCAUAUUAGUGAGUACGGAUUACAUAGUACCAGAUAUAUAGACGAUAGUUUCUAGAUCAUUCAUGAAAGGGUCGAAAGGCGUUUUCAGGUCCCCUCUAUUCCAUCAUGGUCUAUGAUUAUUUUAUUGUUACAAUCCUAACAACUUGGAGUACGUACUCCACAGGUUGAAGCAACUCUCCGGGCAUUAGGAGAGUUGACAUAUGGACGGAGAUUUGGAUUCUGGAGGUACCCACAAAGACAAGGUUUCUGCUCUCUCAACUUAGCGCAACAUACCGAAGAGGGUGGUUGUGAUGAUGUAAUCGCCCCGGCACAU
rnacentral:lncRNA from 1 species